CCUGGGAAAAUUGCCUUAAACUAAUGAGUAAGGAAAACAAAGCGAGCGGUGAGAGCCGGUCGCAGCGCUCAUGAAAAACUGCGUAGCGCAAGAAUUUAUGGAGGGGUAAUAGGCUGGCCGUUGCGUUGACGCUGCCUUACUUUUGGCAGAACUCGCUCGUGCGGGCCUCCCACGUGGACACCCAUCCCCCAAUUCCUCUUUAAUCUCAAAUUUCGAAUCUCCAUAAUUGAACUCAUUCUAUCGAGUGUCUGUCGGAUUAGGGUAAACCCUGUGUUUCACCUGGUGAGAUCUUCUGAUGUUCUGUCGUUUCUGGGAUUUCUUCAUUUCUCUGCUCGUUUUGGUGGGGGCUUCUUCUGUGAUGGUUGUUGGGUCGAAUUUUUUUGCUGUGCUAGAUCAUGUAAGAAAACCUCGAUUGAGUUCAUAUGGUUUUUGCUUUCUGCAGAAUGAGUGGAAGUUUUGCAAGCAUAUUCGAUUUUCCCAUAAUUCAUUCCCCGGUUCACUGUAUAUUUGGAUUUGCGAAAUGGUAAAAUGGGUCCUCGUUGUUUGUCACUGAAAUCGUUCGCUUGUAUUUCUGUUUGCGUGCUGUGUGUAGUUGUAAUUUGUUGCCCUCAAUUCUUACCAGGAUCCUAGCUUCGAGUUUUAGGGUUUCGAUUCACGGCGAAGUAAUCGAGCGUGGGUUGGAAGUGCAUUUGAUCAUGUUGAUCGACUCUAUUAAAUUGCUAAAUGAUCCUCUUUUUGUUGAUAAGAGUUCUUAUUCUGUAUAUAUGGAUUUGGAAAUAUCCAAAUCAGAUUGUCCUUCUAUUCGGUUUACGAUGAUUUUUACCGAGGCUUGCAGCCGAUUUGUAAUUUAGGGUUUUCACCAAUCAUACAUAUUCGAAACGGUUGAUGGAAUAUGAUUUGCAGUGGUGGCAUCUCAGCUCCUAUUUCUGUGCCCAUGGAAGAAGAGUGUUCAGUGAACAGUCCCAGAAGGGUCCUGAGCUUCUCAGAGAGGAGAAGGGCAAAAGCCGGUUUUCACGAUUCAGACAGCAGAAGAUCAUCUGGGUUUGGAGUUUCAGGAGAGCAUGGACCAAAGCCCUCUGAAGUUUAUGGAUUUGUCGGAUGCAUUUCGACGGUUGUUGCCACUGUGAUCUUCUUGGUGUGGGCUUAUGUUCCUGAGAGUGUGUUAGAGUCGGUAGGCAUCCAUUACUAUCCGAGCCAGUAUUGGGCAAUCGCUCUACCGACAUACCUGAUGGUGACAGUGGUGUUAAUGUUGGUGUUCUACAUCGGCCUCAACUUCAUGUCGACUCCAUCCCCUUCCUCUCUCAACACAUUGUUUGAUGAGUACUGCAGAGAACCCGGGGACUUUGUUCCCGAGACAGAGGAGGAAGAGCAAGACCGGCCCAUCGAGCCAAUCUCGGACCUUGACAUCACAAAAAUUAACCACCUCAUGUUCAAUUCAUGCCAUGCCAACUGAUGAUGCUAUAUAUAUAUCUGACGCUGUUGGGUUCAAGACUUGGAUUCUUGUUAUGUCUUUCGAGAUUUUGAGUAGAUCAGCUAAAGCCAUUCCAUUUCAGUUCAGUUUGGUUUUUUUUUAAAGAGAGGCAAAACUGUUGGAAUAGGGCCAUGAACCACACAGCCUAUCAUAAAGCGUGACUGAUUGAAGGUUUCGCUUCCAUCCAAUUACAUAAAGACAAGAGGGAAGAAUCGCUGCAAAUUGGAAGGAACGAUGGCGUAGAAAACAGAAGUAACACCGGCAAUGUUUUAUGUGUUUGUGUCCGUUUUUCAGACCAAACCCAUUUCAGAAUCUUAAAUUUAUUUGCCUAAUUUUACCACCCAUUAUCUAGAGGGGUUAAUCCCACAAAAAACCUCAAAUUU